rnacentral:rRNA from 1 species
GACGAACGCUGGCGGCGUGCUUAACACAUGCAAGUCGAACGGUGAAGCGCCUUCCUUUUUGGUGGGUGUGGAUGAGUGGCGAACGGGUGAGUAACACGUGAGUAACCUGCCCCCUUCUUCUGGAUAACCGCAUGAAAGUGUGGCUAAUACGGGAUAUUCUGGGUCUGUCGCAUGAUGGGUCUGGGAAAGAUAUUGUUUCGGUGGGGGAUGGGUUCGCGGCCUAUCAGCUUGUUGGUGGGGUGAUGGCCUACCAAGGCGGUGACGGGUAGCCGGCCUGAGAGGUUGGGCGAUCACACUGGGGCUGCGACACGGCCCAGACUCCUACGGGCGGCAGCAGGGGGGAAUAUUGCACAAUGGGCGCAAGCCUGAUGCAGCGACGCCGCGUGAGGGAUGGAGGCCUGCGGGUUGUGAACCUCUUUCGCCAGUGAAGCAGGCCUGCCUCGUUUGUGGGUGGGUUGACGGUAGCUGGAUAAGAAGCGCCGGCUAACUACGUG